AUAACUGUAAAAAUAAAAACGUCACUGCAAUAUACGGGCACUGACACAAUUCUAUUGGGAUUUCCAGGAUCGCAUGAAUAUAGGUAGCACUGCUAGUGCACGGCGGGAGGAAAGUGUGCUGUUGGAGUUUAUGAGUCGCAGAGCAAGAUCGGGGCGGAGAAAUAGUUUAAGUGGCAGUUCGACAAUGAAUCAGUUGUGGCUGCGUUUGGUUGUUUUCUAGAGUUUAAAUUAAAUUACUUAAUACAACUCGACCUGUUGCUGCGGUGGAAAAGGUUGCCAUGCUGUGAAUGCCGUUGCAGUUUGCAUUUCGUGAGACCAGGUUGCUGAGAUAAGGUUGUAAUCGCGACUGGGAAAGAUGAUCUGGUAUGGAAACUGAAGUUGGAGAAAUGCCGGAAGGAAAAAGAAGACCUUCACUCUCAGCUGGAGAGAUGAAAAAAAGAGAAAGAAGCGCUGUCUAAUGCUGAAGCACUGUUGACAGCUGCAUUUCCUAAUGUGGAGAUGAAAUACUUAAAGAAGCAGCAUGAAAUAAACUAUGCAACGAGAGGAAGCUGCACAAACGGACAAUUGGGGAAAAAAUAUAUAAGAUCUUCAUAGAGGGAAAAAAAGAGUUGAGAAAAU